AAAAUCAUAUUUUCCCACAAAA
rnacentral:snRNA from 1 species